rnacentral:rRNA from 1 species
AUUGAACGCUGGCGGCAUGCUUUACACAUGCAAGUCGAACGGCAGCGCGGGCUUCGGCCUGGCGGCGAGUGGCGAACGGGUGAGUAAUACAUCGGAACGUGCCCAGUAGUGGGGGAUAGCUCGGCGAAAGCCGGAUUAAUACCGCAUACGACCUGAGGGUGAAAGCGGGGGAUCUUCGGACCUCGCGCUAUUGGAGCGGCCGAUGGCAGAUUAGCUAGUUGGUGGGGUAAAGGCCUACCAAGGCGACGAUCUGUAGCUGGUCUGAGAGGACGACCAGCCACACUGGACUGAGACACGGCCCAGACUCCUACGGGAGGCAGCCGUGGGGAAUUUUGGACAAUGGGCGAAAGCCUGAUCCAGCAAUGCCGCGUGUGUGAUGAAGGCCUUCGGGUUGUAAAGCACUUUUGGCGGGAACGAAAAGGACUGUGCCAAUACCACGGUUCGAUGACGGUACCCGCAGAAUAAGCACCGGCUAACUACGUG